ACAGCAGCCGCCGCGGUAAAACGUAGGGUGCAAGCGUUAGUCGGAAUUACUGGGCGUAAAGCGUGCGCAGGCGGUGUUGUAAGACUGAUGUGAAAUCCCCGGGCUCAACCUGGGAACUGCAUUGGUGACUGCAACGCUGGAGUGCGGCAGAGGGGGAUGGAAUUCCGCGUGUAGCAGUGAAAUGCGUAGAUAUGCGGAGGAACACCGAUGGCGAAGGCAGCCUCCUGGGCCAAUACUGACGCUCAUGCACGAAAGCGUGGGGAGCAAACAGGAUUAGAUACCCCAGUAGUCCCUGUCUCUUAUAC
rnacentral:rRNA from 1 species